GCUGCCACCGGCGGGGAGGCGGGAAGCCGUUCCGCCUGGAGGCUCGCGCGCCUUUGGAAUGGAAUCGUCGAGCUGUGGGGAAUCUACGCCGCUGUAGCCUGACUGCCAGUCAGUUCAGUUCAGGCAGAUGGCCACUUGGGGGGAAUGCCGUGUGAAAUGACUCCAAUAUUUUGGAGAUGAAUCCAUCGAGGUUUUCUAUGGUCUCGGCUAAUGCUUUUUACCCUUUUGGGGGAUGAGAGGGACAGAUCAAACCGUAUUAACAUACACCGUUACCACCUGCUAUUGUGUCUGAGGCUGUGAAGACAGGCAGGCCGCGUUUUAGGCUCAGCGUCGCACCGUGGUUCCUCGUCGGCAAGGUGGGGAUCAUAGCGCUCAGGCUCCGGAGCUGCGUUGUCUGUGCUGCCUGCGGCGCACUAGAGGGCUGACCUCCUCACUAGCGGGGUGACUUCGGGCGACUGAAAUUCCCCAAGCCUCAGUUUCCUGGCCUACGAUAGGAAUAACAGUAGUACUUGCAAUUUAGCUUCUUCAGCAGUGUGUUGUCAAACUUGGAUUUUUGCCAGUCUGAUAGAUAAUCCGGAGGUCUCUCCACAUGAAUACAUAGGAUCUUCAUUCAUUUUCUCAAUUGCAUAGGACUCCGGUGUAUGGAUGUACCAUCCUUUGUUCCGCUCAUUUCCCUGUUGAUAGA